rnacentral:rRNA from 1 species
GACGAACCGUGCGAACGUUAUUCGGAAUCACUGGGCUUAAAGCGCGUGUAGGCGGGCCGGCACGUCGGUCGCUGAAAUCCCCCGGCUCAACCGGGGAAGGGGCGCCGAUACGACCGGCCUGGAGGGACGUAGGGGGGGCUGGAACUUCCGGUGGAGCGGUGAAAUGCGUUGAUAUCGAUAGGAACUCCGGUGGCGAAGGCGGCACACUGGACCACAACUGACGCUGAGGCGCGAAAGCCAGGGGAGCAAACGGG